CGGCGGACGGGUGAGUAACACGUGGGCAACCUGCCCUGCAGAUCGGGAUAACUCCGGGAAACCGGUGCUAAUACCGAAUAGUUUUUUGCCCCUCCUGGGGCGAAACGGAAAGACGGUUUCGGCUGUCACUGCAGGAUGGGCCCGCGGCGCAUUAGCUAGUUGGUGGGGUAACGGCCUACCAAGGCGACGAUGCGUAGCCGACCUGAGAGGGUGAUCGGCCACACUGGGACUGAGACACGGCCCAGACUCCUACGGGAGGCAGCAGUAGGGAAUCUUCCGCAAUGGACGAAAGUCUGACGGAGCAAUGCCGCGUGAGUGACGAAGGUUUUCGGAUCGUAAAACUCUGUUGUAAGGGAAGAACAAGUACCAGCUAACUACUGGUACCUUGACGGUACCUUACCAGAAAGCCACGGCUAACUACGUGCCAGCAGCCGCGGUAAUACGUAGGUGGCAAGCGUUGUCCGGAAUUAUUGGGCGUAAAGCGCGCGCAGGCGGUCCCUUAAGUCUGAUGUGAAAGCCCACGGCUCAACCGUGGAGGGUCAUUGGAAACUGGGGGACUUGAGUGCAGAAGAGGAAAGUGGAAUUCCAUGUGUAGCGGUG
rnacentral:rRNA from 1 species